rnacentral:rRNA from 1 species
AUGGGCAAGGCGAAGGGAAAGCAGCGGCAGGACGAGUUCUACCACCUCGCCAAGGAGCAGGGGUACCGGAGCCGCGCGGCCUUCAAGCUGCAGCAGCUCGACGACCGCUUCCGGUUCCUCCCGGCGGCGCGCGCCGUGCUUGACCUCUGCGCGGCGCCGGGGGGCUGGAUGCAGGUGGCCGUCGCCCGCGCCCCCGCCGGCGCCUUCGUCGUCGGCGUCGACCUCGUGCCCAUCCGCCCCAUCCGCGGCGCGCACUCCCUCACGGAGGACAUCACCACCACCAAGUGCCGCUCCGCCGUGCGGAGGCUCAUGGACUCCAAGGGGGUCGCCACCUUUGACGUCGUCCUCCACGACGGCUCGCCCAACGUCGGCGGCGCGUGGGCGCAGGAGGCCACCGCGCAGUCCGCGCUCGUCAUCGACGCCGUUCGCCUGGCCACCAUGUUCCUCGCCCCCAAGGGCGCCUUCAUUACCAAGGUCUUCAGGUCUCAGGAUUACAGCGCCAUCAUGUUCUGCCUGAAGCAGCUGUUUGAUAAGGUCGAGGUGACCAAACCUAGAGCGAGCCGGGGCACAUCGGCUGAAAUUUACAUCAUCUGUCUGAAGUACAAAGCCCCUGCAAAGAUUCAACCAGAGCUUCUUGAUAUCAAGCACCUGUUCAGUGUGGAUCCAGAGAAGAGCAUGCCUACGGAUGUGCUUGAUCCUAAGAGUGCCAAGAAGAGAACCCGUGGCGGGUAUGCGCCUGGAGUCACGGUACUGGAGAAAGUUGGUCUGGCAUCAGAUUUUAUAUGGUCCGAAGUGCAGAAACCACGGGAUUUCCUCGGUUCUUUUACUAAGAUUUCAUUUGAUGAUCCUGCAUCUCUGCCUAUCAAGAACCAUGAGCUCACCACAGAUGAGGUCAAAUACCUUUGUGAGGAUUUGCAGGUGCUGGAUAAAAAUAGCUUCAAGCAUAUCUUGAAGUGGCGCACACGCAUAAGGAAAGCGCUGCCAUCAUCUUCGCAGGUUACACCAAAGGUCAAAGAUGAUGUUCAGCUUUUACAAGAAAUGGAAGAAAUGGAUUCGGAUGAAGAACACCAACUGGAGGAGAUGCUCGAUGAAGCUUAUGAGCGUUAUGUGACAAAAAAGGUUGGGAAAGUAAAACAAGAACACAAACGUGCGAAGCAAAUCAAUCCUGAUGCUGAUGCAGAUUUGUUAGAGGGAGGUGAAGACGAUGGUGGCAACGAUGGCAUCGAUCAAGGUUCUGACAAAGAUCAAGAUCAAGAGACCAAACCCCUUUUAUUAUGUCUAGAUACAGAGAAGCCAGCGGAAGAGCAGGAUGUUAAAGCAGUGGUUCAGUCAGAAUAUGUUCACAGAAGCAGGAAGAAGGGGAAGGGUGGCAAAGGAGGCGCCAAAGGGGGGAAGGGAUGA